AUGAUCUCCCAGACUCAGUUUCUCUGGCUCCUUGUGCUCUGCAUUCAGGACUCCAGUGGGCAGAUCGUGCUGACUCAGACUCCAGAAUCCCUGGCAGUGUCUCCUGGAGACACAGUCACUAUCCGCUGCAAAGCCAGUUCCAGUGUAAGCUACAUGGCCUGGUACCAACAGAAAUCAGGACAAGUGCCAAAGCUCCUUAUCUACGAUGCUUCCAGCCGUCCCUCUGGGAUCCCAGACCGGUUCAGCGGCAGUGGGUCAGGCACUGACUACACAUUCACCAUCAGCCGGGUUGAAGCGGGUGAUGCUGGAGAUUAUUACUGUCAGAGUUACUACAGUAGCUCUCUCACACAGUGA